rnacentral:rRNA from 1 species
CCUACGGGUGGCAGCAGUGAGGAAUAUUGGUCAAUGGACGAGAGUCUGAACCAGCCAAGUAGCGUGAAGGAUGACUGCCCUAUGGGUUGUAAACUUCUUUUAUAUGGGAAUAAAAUGUUUCACGUGUGGGAUUUUGUAUGUACCAUAUGAAUAAGGAUCGGCUAACUCCGUGCCAGCAGCCGCGGUAAUACGGAGGAUCCGAGCAUUAUCCGGAGUUAUUGGGUUUAAAGGGAGCGUAGGUGGAUUUUUAAGUCAGUUGUGAAAUUUUGCGGCUCAACCGUAAAAUUGAAUUUGAAACUGGCAGUCUUGAGAACAGUAGAGGUGGGCGGAAUACGUGGUGUAGCGGUGAAAUGCUUAGAUAUAACGAAGAACUCCGAUUGCGAAGGCAGCUCACUGGACUGCAACUGACACUGAGGCUCGAGAGUGUGGGUAUCAAACAGGAUUAGAUACCCUGGUAGUC